UACGGGGGAGCAAGCGUUGUUCGGAUUUACUGGGCGUAAAGGGCGCGUAGGCGGCCAGCGCAAGUCAGUUGUGAAAUCUCCGGGCUUAACUCGGAAAGGUCAACUGAUACUGCGCGGCUAGAGUGCGGAAGGGGCAACUGGAAUUCUCGGUGUAGCGGUGAAAUGCGUAGAUAUCGAGAGGAACACCUGCGGCGAAGGCGGGUUGCUGGGCCGACACUGACGCUGAUGCGCGAAAGCCAGGGGAGCGAACGGG
rnacentral:rRNA from 1 species